rnacentral:rRNA from 1 species
UGGCUCAGGAUGAACGCUGGCGGCGUGCCUAAUACAUGCAAGUCGAACGGGAUCUUAGCAGUGCUUGCACAGCUAAGUGAGAGUGGCGCACGGGUGAGUAACACGUAGCUGACCUGCCUUUUACUGGGGGAUAACUCACCGAAAGGUGAGCUAAUACCGCGUAUUCUUGUGGGCAUUAGAAAACCACAAGGAAAGAGUUUAGCAUCGGUAAAAGAGGGGGCUGCGGUCCAUCAGCUAGUUGGUGAGGUAAAAGCUCACCAAGGCACCGACGGAUAGGGGACCUGAGAGGGUGACCCCCCACACUGGAACUGAGACACGGUCCAGACUCCUACGGGAGGCAGCAGUAAGGAAUAUUGCACAAUGGACGCUAGUCUGAUGCAGCAACGCCGCGUGGAGGAUGAAGGCUUUCGAGUUGUAAACUCCUUUUCUGAGGGACGAGACAGGACGGUACCUCAGGAAUAAGUCUCGGCUAACUACGUGCCAGCAGCCGCGGUAAAACGUAGGAGGCGAGCGUUAUCCGGAUUUACUGGGCGUAAAGCGCGGGCAGGCGGUGACUUAAGUCAUGCGUGAAAGCUCCUGGCUCAACUGGGAGAGGUCGUGUGAAACUGGGUCGCUAGAGGCAAGUAGAGGCAGACGGAAUUCCGGGUGGAGUGGUGAAAUGCGUAGAGAUCCGGAGGAACACCAGUGGCGAAGGCGGUCUGCUGGGCUUAGCCUGACGCUCAGCCGCGAAAGCAUGGGUAGCGAACGGGAUUAGAAACCCCGGUAGUCCAUGCCGUAAACGAUGCGUACUAGGCGUUGGGGAUGCACUGCAUCUUCAGUGCCGCAGCAAACGCGAUAAGUAUGCCGCCUGGGGAGUACGGUCGCAAGACUAAAACUCAAAGGAAUUGACGGGGGCCCGCACAAGCAGCGGAGCGUGUGGUUUAAUUCGAGCUACGCGAAGAACCUUACCUAGGCUUGACAUAUAAGUGGUACCGACCUGAAAAGGAAGGGACUUUUGAGCUUAUACAGGUGCUGCAUGGCUGUCGUCAGCUCGUGCCGUGAGGUGUUCGGUUAAGUCCGAAAACGAGCGCAACCCUCGGCGUUAGUUACAAGUGUCUAACGCGACUGCCCGGGGUAACCGGGAGGAAGGUGGGGAUGACGUCAAGUCAGCAUGGCCUUUAUGUCUAGGGCUACACACACGCUACAAUGGCCGGUACAAAAGGCAGCGAACCCGCGAGGGGGAGCGAAUCCUCUAAAGCCAGUCUCAGUUCGGAUUGUAGGCUGCAACUCGCCUGCAUGAAGUUGGAGUUGCUAGUAACCGUAGGUCAGCACACUACGGUGAAUACGUUCCCGGGCCUUGUACACACCGCCCGUCACGUCAUGGAAGCUGGUCAUACCUAAAGUCGGUGGGCUAACCUAACGGAGGCAACCGCCAAAGGUAGGGCUGGUGACUGGGACGAAGUCGUAACAAGGUA